rnacentral:rRNA from 1 species
AGAGUUGAUUCUGGCUCAGGACGAACGCUGGCGGCGUGCUUCAUACAUGCAAGUCGAACGAGAAAUUACCUCGGGUAAUGGACAGUGGCGGACGGGUGAGUAAUGUGUAGAGAAUCUGCCCUUUAGUGGGGGAUAGCAGUUGGAAACGACUAUUAAUACCCCAUAUGCGCGUAGUUGAGAUACUAUUCGUGAAAGAUUAAUCGCUAAAGGAUGAGUCUGCAUCUGAUUAGCUAGUUGGGGGUGUAAUGGACCACCAAGGCGACGAUCAGUAGCUGGUUUGAGAGGAUGAUCAGCCACAAUGGGACUGAGACACGGCCCAUACUCCUACGGGAGGCAGCAGUAGGGAAUUUUGCGCAAUGGGCGAAAGCCUGACGCAGCAAACCGCCGCGUGAUCGUAGAAGACCUUCGGGUUGUAAAGAUCUGUCAGUGGGGACGAAAGCUGACUGUACCCACAGAGGAAGCACCGGCUAACUCCGUGCCAGCAGCAGC